ACCUCGGUAGGGCAUGCACAGACCUUCCUGUGUGCAGCGGGCUGAUUCGUCAUAUUCCGUGGGACUGGGGACCUCAGUAGGGUGUGGGCAGACCUGUCUGUCUGCAGUGGGGUGAUUCGGCAUGUUCUGUGCAACUCAGGACCUCGGUAGGGCAUCAAAAACUUUGUUUUUAAAGGAUUUUAUUUUCACCUCUUCCUUGGGUAAUUAGAAAACUAUCUUGGAGACAAAAGUGUUGAUAUAAUUAACAUGAUUGACUUUGUGAGCAAGACAUGAAAGCCCAGAGUAUAUUUGUCAGCACUAGGUAAGUGGAUUUUAACUUUGUCCUUCUAGUCUUGCCUUCUGGAAUUGACGGGGUGCACUACCUGCCCAUUUACUACGCUGGAAAUCAUUGCCUGCAAGAUGGACCCAUGGUCCCUAGGGCGACUUGGGAAGGCUUUGCAGUUCAGCAGAUUGCUUUUUCUUAUCCUCGAUUAUUGCAGCAAGCUGCACCUCGAUGGCAACUAUUUGCAGUGCUCUGGAUCUCUGGCUCUGCUCAGGCCCUUAGCGGAGUAUGCAGAGAUGCAGGGGAAAGAACCGCCAGCCACAGCCUCUCCUGACACGAGAAAUCCCACUCAGCAGCUCCACAAAAUCAAGAAUAAAAAGCGCUUGACUGAAGCUGGUCCUUGGUUAGUGAAGUUACAUUUGGCAGAUAAUGGAAUAGAUGGCAAAGGAGAAGAAGGAGAAAGCUUGUUGGAAUUUACUCAAAUGCUGACAUGCCUGAUCAAAUACUCUGCCCAUGUAAGGGAAAUUGACCUUGGGAACAACAUCCUGGGAGAAAUGGCUGCUGCUCAUAUCCUUGGAGCCCUGAGAGCCAGAAAGACAGGUAAACUACCAGUCUUAAAAAUUACAGUCACUCCCCAGAUCUCUUCCGAUACCUUUAGAUCUAUUUGGAAAAAUAGCAAGAAAUCUAAUACUACCUAUAAAAAGAAGAAUAAGGCUAAAAACUGAAUACAGAGGCUGUAUUUCCCUGUGGAAGUCAUCUAUUUCCAUGGCGAACCAGACAUGUCUAGAAAGACUGAUUGUUCUGAAAUAAUAUUUUUCAUUAUAAAUAAACCCUUUCUAAGCUUUAAAAUUAGAUAAGACUAUUUUAUGAAAGUUCAAGGUAGCAUUAAUCCGAUGGCACUCGUCAAUGUCAAAUGUAUAAAAGUCAGUUUUCAUAAGUCGUGCAUGUGAAAUACAUGAUUUGAAAGAAUCAUAUUCUUUACCUAAGACUCUUCCUUCAUAAAUAUGCCUAUAGUUGUGGAAAAAUAGGGAUUUUUGGAAAUAAUAACCAUUUCCUAAAAGACAACAUCCCUAAAAAUUGGUCUCUUCCCCAAAUGAGGAAACUUCUGAUCCCUCAAUUGCACCAUGAAUAAGCCCCAUGGGAAAUAGAAGAGGUGUGGUUGAUAGAUGUGUGGAUGAGACAUUGGGUUAGUUUAGUUGUAUGUGCCAUGAAAACAUGGUGCAGACUUUGGGAGCACACACUGGGAAUUAGCUAUGCCAGAAUUCUCUGUGGAGAACCUGCUUUUUCCAGAUGUGUGACCUGGGGCAAAUCUGCUAAACCUACUGUGCAACUUAGUUUUCCCUUGUGUAAGAGAAAAAUAAAAAUAGCACCUAGCUCAUUUGAUGAGCUUUGAGUGAGCUGCCACAUGUCAAGUAUUUCAGGACAAUGUAUUCUUCAUAAAAGUAAGUAUUAGGGGCUGGUAUACUGUCAUUGUUAGUGUUAGGACUGUCACUAUCUCACUUAUGAUGUAAGAAAAAUAUAAAAGAAAAAAGGAACGCUUUAAAUCUCCUUAUUUUGACUCAAAAAAAACCAACUUCAUUCUUCUGUAUACAAAUGUAGCCCCAGGAGGCAUCAUGGCAAAUUUUUUGAAAGGCACAUUACAGUGGGUGCAUAACACCAUGUUUAUUUUUUAGAAGUAUUUCUAUUGAUGAAUUAUUAAUUUUAAUUUUAUGAGUAUUUUUAUAUUAAACAAUGUAUACUUAACAGGAGAAUAAAAUAUCAAUAAAAUAUUAAAUUUUUAAUAUGUAAUGAGUGUUUAGAAUAAACAUCAACAUUUUCAAAAUCAACUCUUUAGCUGCUUACAAGAUCUAAAAAAUAACAGCAGAGGGCCAGGGAUUUAGUUCAGUGAUUCCACCGCCUGCCUCACAAGCGCAAGGACCUGGAUUCAAUUCCCGGUACCACAAAAAAAAAAUAAAAUAAAUAACAGCAGAAAUAAAUUCCUAUAUGAACUACAAAAAAAAUACAAAGAAAACUCUACCACAGAAAUAAUCUUUGCUUCAAUUAUUAUACCUAAGGCAGUCUUUACACAUGAGCAUAGCAUGUUCCAUACUCAAGUAUCACACAGAUAGCACAUGUGUUUUGUUCUCCUGUCUUUUUUGGUAGGACAAAGUUGACAUCUUGCUGGUCUUCCUGUCUUCUUAGGAGAUUCUUGUGAUGUUUCACCUGUUUAUUGGUCUGCUUCAGAAUACUUUUUUUUUUUUUUGGUACUGGGGAUCAAACUCAGGAUCUUGCACUUGUGAGGCAGGCGGUAGAACCACUGAACUAAAUCCCCGGCCCCUCCAGAAUACUUUUGAGAAGUUCUUUGGUCAGAUACAUAUUGUUCUUCCUCUGUUGUAAUUGAUCAUUUAUCAAUUUCAGUGCCAAUCCUCUAAGAAAAUUUCUCCAUGAUAUUUUGUGCUUGUUAUUUUCUUUGUAAACUAUGAAACUAUUAAUGGCUCACAUGUUUAGAAUUGAGUAAAACACAACCAUUGAUCAAUGUUUUGUGUUUUGAGUGACAUUACACUUGCUGCUCUGCCUUUCAUUUUAUUGUAAAAUGUGACUAUUGCUGGUUCAUUUGUGUUAAGGAUUCACUAUCAAUCUUUUGUUUGUGUGUGUGUUUUGAGAUAGGGUCUGCCUAUGUAGUCCAGGCUAGCCUUGAACUCACUAUCCUGCCUCAGCCUCCUGAGUGCUGGGAUUACAGGCAUGUACUACCAUCCCAGGCCUCACUAUCACUCUUAUCAUAAUGGUAUAACAUUGACAGUAUCAAUAUUACUUUAUUUUUCUUGGACAUAUAGAAGGCCAAUGUAAAGAUCUGGUGGCUGAGUUCCAGGAUACAUUUCUAAAUUCAAAGUGUAAAAUGUCUUUGUAUCUACCAGGGCAUAUAUUUUUAUACCAUAUUUGGAAGAUGCACUUGGCACGUAUUGCCAAAAGCUUCAACAACCACAAAAUGAUCCAAGUUGUUUGUCAGUUGUUGUGCAUUCAGAUGGUGUAUAAAUUGCUUGACACUUUGAAAUAAAGCUUUCAAAAAAUGAGUGAAUAGCAGCCAAAUUGUCAGGGGGUUUUUUGUUUUGUUUU
rnacentral:lncRNA from 1 species